rfam:Fukomys damarensis contig80848, whole genome shotgun sequence.
AGCUUUGUGCAUUGGCAGUAUCAUAGCCAAUGAGGUUUAUCUGAGGUACGAUUAUUGCCAAAUGAAAAUGAUUCUCAAGUUCCAAAAUAGAUAAAUUGACUUAGUUUCUCAGCCUUCUAUAUUGCAAAUUUUUUCCCAGUAUUAUUUUUAC